CCCCGGUCUCUGGAAUAACAGUCGGAAACGACUGCUAAUACCGGAUACCGUCGGAACGUCGCAUGGCGAUCCGACGAAAGGACAUCCGGAUCGGGAGGGUCUCGCGGCCUAUCAGCUAGUUGGUGAGGUAACGGCUCACCAAGGCAUCGACGGGUAGCUGGUCUGAGAGGAUGAUCAGCCACACUGGGACUGAGACACGGCCCAGACUCCUACGGGAGGCAGCAGUGGGGAAUCUUGCACAAUGGGCGAAAGCCUGAUGCAGCAACGCCGCGUGCGGGAUGAAGGCCCUAGGGUUGUAAACCGCUUUCAGCAGGAACGAAAAUGACGGUACCUGCAGAAGGAGGUGCGGCCAACUACGUGCCAGCAGCCGCGGUGACACGUAGGCACCAAGCGUUGUCCGGAUUUAUUGGGCGUAAAGAGCUCGUAGGCGGUUCGGUAAGUCGGGUGUGAAAACUCUGGGCUCAACCCAGAGCCGCCACCCGAUACUGCUGUGACUAGAGUGCGGUAGGGGAGCGGGGAAUUCCUGGUGUAGCGGUGAAAUGCGCAGAUAUCAGGAGGAACACCAGUGGCGAAGGCGCCGCUCUGGGCCGUAACUGACGCUGAGGAGCGAAAGCGUGGGUAGCAAACAGGAUUAGAUACCCUGGUAGUCCACGCCGUAAACGUUGGGCACUAGGUGUGGGUCUCAACCAACGAGAUCCGCGCCGUCGCUAACGCAUUAAGU
rnacentral:rRNA from 1 species